rnacentral:rRNA from 1 species
UACACUGCAGUCGACGAUGACUUCUGUGCUUGCACAGAAUGAUUAGUGGCGAACGGGUGAGUAACACGUGAGUAACCUGCCCUUGACUUCGGGAUAAGCCUGGGAAACCGGGUCUAAUACCGGAUACGACCUCCUGGCGCAUGCCAUGGGGGUGGAAAGCUUUAUGCGGUUUUGGAUGGACUCGCGGCCUAUCAGCUUGUUGGUUGGGGUAAUGGCCCACCAAGGCGACGACGGGUAGCCGGCCUGAGAGGGUGACCGGCCACACUGGGACUGAGACACGGCCCAGACUCCUACGGGAGGCAGCAGUGGGGAAUAUUGCACAAUGGGCGAAAGCCUGAUGCAGCGACGCCGCGUGAGGGACGAAUGCCUUCGGGUUGUAAACCUCUUUCAGCAGGGAAGAAGCGAAAGUGACGGUACCUGCAGAAGAAGCGCCGGCUAACUACGUGCCAGCAGCCGCGGUAAUACGUAGGGCGCAAGCGUUAUCCGGAAUUAUUGGGCGUAAAGAGCUCGUAGGCGGUUUGUCGCGUCUGCUGUGAAAGCCCGGGGCUCAACCCCGGGUCUGCAGUGGGUACGGGCAGACUAGAGUGAUGUAGGGGAGACUGGAAUUCCUGGUGUAGCGGUGAAAUGCGCAGAUAUCAGGAGGAACACCGAUGGCGAAGGCAGGUCUCUGGGCAUUAACUGACGCUGAGGAGCGAAAGCAUGGGGAGCGAACAGGAUUAGAUACCCUGGUAGUCCAUGCCGUAAACGUUGGGCACUAGGGGGUGGGGGACAUUCCACGUUUUCCGCGCCGUAGCUAACGCAUUAAG